rnacentral:rRNA from 1 species
AUUGAACGCUGGCGGCAGGCCUAACACAUGCAAGUCGAACGAGUGGCGGACGGGUGAGUAAUGUCUGGGAAACUGCCUGAUGGAGGGGGAUAACUACUGGAAACGGUAGCUAAUACCGCAUACCAUCGGAUGUGCCCAGAUGGGAUGAGCUGGUAGGUGGGGUAACGGCUCACGUAGGCGACGAGCCCUAGCUGGUCUGAGAGGAUGACCAGCCACACUGGGACUGGGACAGGGUCCAGACUCCUACGGGAGGCAGCAUUGGGGAAUAGUGCAACAGGUGCGCAGACCUGAGGCAGCCAUGCCUCGUGUAUGAAGAAGGCCUUCGGGUUGUAAAGUACUGUCAGCGGGGAGGCGUUACCCGCAGAAGAAGCACCGGCUAACUCCGUGCCAGCAGCCGCGGUAAUAC